CUUCCUGCUCGUGCCACCAGGCCCCGGGGCCGCGACGCGUCUCUCCAGCCCGGGAUCCGGGGAGCUGGGCUGUCCCCAGACCGACGGGACAGCGGCAUCUCCUCCACCUGAAAAGGAAAGAGGACCAGGUGGGGGCCAGGCAGGGCGCAUGAAGGCGGCGCCAGCACCGCGCGAUCCGAAUCACGUCGGUGCGGGGGAGGGGUCGGAGCCUGGCCUCGGCCUAGGGCGCAGAUGCGGUGCGCACCGCAGGGGGGCGGCGUGGGGUGCGGGGCCAGUCCCGCCGGGCACGGGGUCCUGGUCCUCAUCCCCUUCACCGCCGCCGCCCGCCUGGGCUGGCGUUUCCCCAGCGAGAGCGCGUAGUUUGCGCAGCGCCCCUCGCCCACGCCGCCGCUGGGUCGCGGGGCGCGCCUACCCAGAGCCGAGGUCCCGGACUCCCCGGCCAUCGCGACCCUUCCGGGGACUCCUCGCCCCUUCGCGGUGGGACCAAGGCCCGGGUGGGGCCGGGACAGGGUGGUGGGGGGAAGGGGGACCGUACAAAAGCAAACAGAAACCACGGGGGGCUCGCCGCGACGCCCAGUCCGAGGGCCUCUCGCCUGGAAGAGGGAAGAAACCCACGUCCUGGACGCGGGUGUGGGGUCUGUCCCGGGUCAGGACCUGUUGUCUCUGCGACGUUGCCAGUCCGGAGAGCUCGGAGGGCCAAUGCAGCCCCGGAUUCAACAAGAUGCGAAAGGACUUCUAAAGCCAGGAACCGGCACCCAGCCACGGCCACCGCCCGCCGGCCCGGCGCCCUGCCCCCACUCACUGCGCCCCCAAGUUCCGGCGCCGCGGGCUGCAGGGGUGACUUGGCUCGGCGUGCCUCGGGGCACGAGGCUCGGCCCCGCACGGCUCUCGGGUCCCGGGGGGCUGGGGUGGGAAGGGACAUGGCCGGCGCGCGGCGCUGGGGAGCCGGGUGCGCCAGGCUGGGGACCUUGCGUGGGGCAGGGCUUGGCUCAGCCGAGGGGCCGCGGCUCAGCCCCCCUCACCGGCCUUAAAGGUUCCCAGAGACGCAAAGUCGGACGCGGGUCCUGAGCGCGGAGCUACAGGGGGGAGCAUGGGGCAGCCCCCAAGGCGCGCUCCCUGCAUUUCCCACCCUUUCCACGCUGCCCUGCGCGCACGGUCGGGCGCCCUUGGGGUGGGCAGGGAGGCGCGGGCAGGGGCAGCGCCGAAGACCUCCCGCCGCCAUGGAGAAGGGGCUCCCCACCCACCCUCCUGCCCCAACCAUUAUAGAUCCCAGCCAGUGCGCCCCGCGCCCUUCCGGGACAAGCUGCCCCCAGGACCACCGUGCCCCAGUAUCAAGCGGACAGCAAAUCUCUCGGUGGCUCCUUUUUUUGCAGGACUCCGAACUGGGCCCGCGAGAUCUCCACCUGCGCAAAACGAAAGGGCGGAUUCUCCUUGGACUCACGAGGCAACCGCUCCCCGGGGUGAGAACGGGGGACUCAUUCCUCCGGCACUGGGAGAAGACGAUUCUUUAGGAGGAGGACAGGGAAGCGAAUGCUACCCAGAACAGUGCUAGAGAAGCCGUGAGCCAGCUGGCAGGUGAGAACGCCCAGGUGCAGGUGGAUGGCUGCAGGUCAGGCCUACUUUUCCUACACCUGUUGCUGGGGGGCAAUCCCAUACCCACUCUCAGUCCAGAGUGCCUGUCACCACAGGGCAAGUAGGUGAAGGGCUUCUCAGAUCCUCAAAGACUCAGAGGGAUAAAAGGAGGCAGAUGGGUCCUAGAGGCAGCCCAUGGCAAGGGAGAGGUCUGCUUUUUUCUUUUUUUUUGAGACGGAGUUUCACUUUUGUUGCCCAGGCUGGAGUGCAAUGGCCUGACCCUGGCUCACUGCAACCUCCACCUCCCAGGUUCAAGUGAUUCUCCUGCCUCAGCCUCCUGAGUAGCUGGGAUUACAGGUGCCCACCACUAUGCCCAACUAAUUUUUGUGGAGACGGGGUUUCACCAUGUUGGCCAGUCAGGUCAAAUUCCUGACUUGAGGUCAAACUCCUGACCUCAGGUAAUCCACCCAUCUCGGUCUCCCAAAGUGCUGGGAUUACAGGUGUGAACCACCACACCUGGCCGAGGUCUGCUUUUCUGAUCAGACAAAAGUGGGUUCCAACCUUGACUCACUACAUGGCCUGGGCAAUGUGCCAGCAUCUUCCCAACCUCUCCCUGCACCCCCAAAUAAUCUCAUUCAAUCUUCAAAAAGCCCUUUGAGAUAAGUCCUAGGACUGCUGCAUUUACAGGUGAGGAAAUUAGGACCUGAAAGGUAAGACUGGGUUGGCCACAACCAACGCAGGGAGGAGAGCGGGGUGGACCCACGACCCAAGGUGGCGCCUGUCGGUUCUCCAAGCCCUCACUCCUCAUGUACCUGCCAUCCUGCCUCAACUUCGCAAAUUGCUUACGCAUGCUGAGCGUGUGUCCUCGUGUACACCGACAGCAUCAGGCUCCUAGUAUGGAUGCAAUAAGUACUGUGGAAUGAAUGAAUGAAUGAAUGAAUGAAAUGAAUGCACACCUCCCUACCCCCAGGGUGAUGAUAAGGACUGUGCAAGACAGAGUGGCUGCACACAGUAGGCCCUCUCAUGCAUGCAGUCGCUCUUCUAAAACAUCUCUAUGAAGCACCUGUUUUGUUCCAGGCAUUGAGGGAACAUUGGUGCUCAUUGGUUCUCUGUUCCUUGCAGACAGACCUGGGAGCAUUCUCCUUGGAGGUCCCCACCCUUGUGGGCUCUUUUUUUCUUGCUUUCCUUUCAGAGCCACCAAAAUGCCUGGACCUGGGCAGCUAACAGUGGGAUGAAUCUGCUUUAGAGACACCAGACUGCCAGCUAGAGAAUUGAAAUAACCUGAUUCUUAUCUAUUUUUCCAUCCAGAGAGGGCACACCAAGGCUAGGCCUCAUUUUUUUUUUCUUUAAACAUUUUUGUGUUGACAAAUAAUGUUUUAUAAAGGCCUCACUAUCUGCCAAACUGUGUCUCACUUCUCCCCAGCCCUGCCAGGUGUGGGGACACCGAACCCACCCAUAUCUCCUCUAGAAUCCACCGAGCACUGAGAUAGCCACAUCUCUAACCUACACCUUUAACUUACAAGCCACAGUCAAGAGGGCUUUGGAGAAAGGGAACCACAGAGGUAGCACGGACAAGCCUCCACUAUCUGCCCCUGGCGCAGGACGCCCACAACCCCAGACACGGUGCACAACGGUCCCUCAGGAAGCCUUUCCUUGAGUCCUACAUUUAACCACAGAGGCCCAGAGGCCCAGGCGUGGUGGUGACUGCCUGCUCGGCAUGCCCCAACCUUUUUUUUUUUUUGAGACAGAGUCUGUCGCCCAGGCUGGAGUGCAGUGGCAUGAUCUCGGCUCACUGCAUCCUCUGCCUCUGGGAUUUAAGCGAUUCUCCUGCCUCAGCCUCCUGAGUAGCUGGGACUACAGGCGCCCGCCACCAUGCCCGGCUAAUUUCUGUAUUUCUACUAGAGAUGGGGUUUCACCAUGUUGGUCAGGCUGGUCUCGAAUUCCUGACCACAAGUGAUCCACCCACCUCGGCCUCCCGAAGCACUGGAAUUACAGGCGUGAGCCACCAUGCCCUGCUGGCCUCCCGCUCUGAGAUUACCUUUUCACCUCAGAUGAGAAAAAUGAACUCAGUAAAGUGCUUGGGAAAGAAACAUCUCAAUCCAAGCCAAUGGGAAAGCCUGGCAAGGAACCCAAGGAAUGUGGAUCUCCAGGGAGCCCAUGGCUCCAUCUUGUUCAAAACCAGACAUGGUGGUGCACACUUGUAGUCCCAGCUACUCAGGAGGCUGAGGCAGGAGGAUCACUUGAGGCAGGAGUCUGAGGCUGCAAUGAGCCAAGAUCACACCAGUGCACUUCAGCCUGGACAACAGAGGGAGACCCUGUCUCUAAAAAUUAACCAAUUAAUUUAAAAUUUUAAAAAUAAAUGAAUUAAAGGAUGAGAAUGUUCUGGAAUGAGAUAGUGGUGAUGGUUGUAAAACUUAGUGAAUAUACUAAAACCUACAGAGUUGUAUACUUUAAGAUGGUGAAAUUUAUGGUAUGUAGGUUCAUCUCAGUUAAAAGAAAAAAAAAGCCACCAUUCGCAUUCUUCCUUACUGGCUGAAAUAUAUGGCAUAAACCCAGCUAGUUACCGGAAAGCCUCAGCACUCUUGAUAAACAGCAACUCUGCUAACUUAGAUGAUCUCAUUUCAGUAGGGAGUACACAAGAUCAGCCAUCCUAGGGCUGCAGCGGGUCUCUGCAGGGGGCUGUAGUGGCCACGGCGGCACAUCAUCAAGAGGCCUGGGCAACCUGUCUCUUACACCCCCUGCAGACAGAACUGCAGGGACACAGGGCCCCAGACUGCACCCUGCAGAAGGAAGGGGUCUCAGAGGAAGGGGCUUUCUUCACUGCACCCUGAGAUCAGAGAACUGCUUGGUGGGGUGAUGGACAGGCCUCCGUGUAUGGGUGGGUGUGUGUGGGGGGGGGCGGGGCAGGGGGUGAUGCCGCAUGGCUGGGGGUGCUCCAAAGAGCCCACCUAGUACUUACAAGGCCCCAUCUCUCAAUAAGGAAGCCCAAUUUGUUGUGUUGGUGAAGAAAUUGCCACCAGAUUAAAAAUGGCAAAUAAAUGCAAGAAUUCAAAAUACUGUACAAAGGGGGAAAUUACUUUUAGGUAUUUACUUACUGCUUUGCUGACUGGACAUUUUAACCGAAUGUAGCUUUCAGCUUCUGUUUAUUUUCCAGAAGUUUAUUUUCCUAAAACCAUUCCUUGGCUCAUGCCUCAAAGCAACCUUUUUCCCAAUUAAAUUGAGGACAGAGAGAGGUCAGUUUAUUCUUAGGAGAUUGACAAUCAAUAGAUGGAAUGAUAUUUAAUACAUAAAGAUGUAUUAUUUAGCUGUCAUAUCGAGUCUGUAUUGUAUAUGUUAUGUACGGUUACGUGUUUUACAGACUUUCUCUUUUGAUCCCCCCCACAGCUCUGUAAAAUCCCUAGUAUUAUGCCCAUUUAGCAGAUAAACUGAGACUCAGAGAAGCUUCAUUCUCACGACCCUGUCUAAGGUCCUACAGUGUGUAAGCAACAGACGUGAGAUUUGGACCUCUGCUGGACCCCCAAAGGCGGGGCAGCGAACACUCCCCUCCACUCCGCGCCUCCGCAGAACACACAGGGCACCAUUUCACAAACACAGCAGGCACAGAGAGAAACUCCUGCAUUUUCAUCAUAAUGCACGGAAACCCCCUGACCUCAAGCCCAGAGAAGUGAGAUGCAUCCAGGUCUGUUUGCUGCCUGCAUGUUUCACAAAUACAUCUAACAGGUCAAAGUUUCAUUCUUGAUUUGGAUCAAAGGGGAAGGAGAAAAAGGCACAAACUGAACCAUCAACUCUGUCACCGAAAAGUGGUCCCCUGGAUCUUAGUGCUUUGCCACCUUCUUGCCACCCCUAUAGUAAAAUGCUUUUUUAUUCUUUCUUUAAAAAUUUCUGUUAUUAUUAUUUUAUUUAAAUGGGGUCUUGCUAUGUUGUCCAGGCUGGUCUCCAACUUCUGGCCUCAAGCAAUCUUCCCACUCCAGCCUCCCAAAGUGCUGGGAUUACAGACGUAAGCCACCAUGUCCAGCCAUGAUUUUUAAAGGCAGGCAUACUUUAUACUUUUUGUACACACUUACAGCUCUGAUUCUUUUUUUAAACAUAUUUAUUUAUUUUUGUUGAGAUGAGGUCUCGCUAUGUUGCCCAGGCUGGUCUUGAACUCCUGGGCCCAAGUGAUCCUCCUGCUUCGGCCUCCCAAGUAGUUGAGAUUACAGGUGAGAGCCGCCAUGCCUGGUUCAGGCUCUGAUUCUUAUGUCAGUGAAUGCCCAGUAAAUUAUUGUUGGCUUGAACUGAAUUAUCAAGAAGGUGCUAUCAAGAAUUCUUUGAGCCAGGCACGGUUGCUGACGCCUGUAAUCCCAGCACUUUGGGAGGCUGAGGCAGGCAGAUCACUUGAGGCCAGGAGUUUGAGACUAGCCUGGCCAACAUGGUGAAACCUGGUCUCUACUAAAAAAUAAAAAAAUUAGCCAGGCAUAGAGAUGCACACCUGCAGUCCCAGUUACUCAGGUGGCUGAGGCAAGAGAAUUGAUUGAACCCAGGAGGCGGAGGUUGCAGUGAGCCAAGAUCACACCACUGCACUCCUGGGUGACAGAUUGAGACCCUGUUUCAAAAAAAAAAAAAAAAAAAAAAGAAGUAAAGGAAAGGAAAAAAGAAAGAGAAAAAAAAAGAAAAAUAAUUCUUUGGCUAGGUAUGAUGGCACUUUGGGAGGCCGAGGCAGACGGAUCGCUUGAGCCCAGGAGUUCAAGACCAGACUGAGCAGUAUGGCAAAACCCCGUCUCUACAAAAAGUACAGAAACAUAGCCUGGGGCGGUGGUGGGCGCCUGUAGUCCCAGCUACUCUGAAGGCUGAGAUGAGAGGAUUGCUUGAGCCCAGGAGGUUGAGGCUACAAUGAGCUGAGAUCACACCACUGCACUCUAGCCUGGGUGACAGAGCAAGACCCUGUCUCAAAAAAAAAAAAUUAUUAUUUGGGAGAUAUAAUUUUACAUCAUCAGAGGGUCAAAAAAAACCCUCUAUUUUGCCUAUUGGCCCCAUUUGAGAUGACCCUGGUGAAAUUUCUCAGCUAACUUUCUCCACCUCUGUCAAGUUGACCGAGACACCACCUAAAUCUCCAUGAAGGACCUGGCAGCUUUCCGGCUCUGCAGCAUUUUCCCGACAAGUUUGCUGCGCACACGCGGAUGCUGACAGCACAGUCUCAUGCUUGCCUAAGCCAGAGCACCACCCUCUAGUGUGACACCGUGUGAUCUCUAUUUUACCAUGCAGAAGAGAGGUCAUCUCCUGGUACAAGAAAAUGGGCUGUCUUCUGGAUAACCGCAGCAAUUCAUCUCUGAGUAGCUGAAGGUCAUUAGUAUGCAUUAUACAAGUGGAACCAUUUGAGAGAAAAGAGGGAACUCACUGGACACAAAAGUGCACUGAGACUGUGAACAGCAAGUCCCGAACAAGGACACAGAGAUAGAUCCCAAAGGGAAAGGCUGGAGGGGGAAGGAUGCGACCCAGCCGCAGUGGCUGAUCCAUGAGGGCUCCUGUCUGGGUUCGUGCUGCCAAUCAGUAGCAUUCCCCAGGCAAGACGUGGGCGCCAGGCCUGACUUGAAACCCAAGGUUGGCUUCAAGAUCUUGCAGCUGGAUCAGAAUGCUGAGUUCAUCGUUGCUGGUGGGCCGCCGUCACCUCUCCUUAGCCCCCCUGUUGAAGGAUGGCCGGCCCCUCCUGGGAAAAUUGCUACAUUUCCUCAGAUAACAGAUGCACACAUGACUAAUCAGGCCUACCCUAAGAAAUGAGAGCCAGCAGCAGAAGCCACAGCGCACACUCUGUAUUGUGAAAAUGGAAUGUGGGAUGACCUAGGAGAUGACACAAAUGCCGAACGGCGAACUUUCUGUUUCUAUGAGUCUAAUAAUGAAAAACUUUUCUGCCUGAACCCGUGGGAUCGAAUAAAAUGAAAAACCCCAUUCUGCAAACCACUGCGCCCCAUGGGAAGCAGCUCGGUUUCCUUCCCGUGUCGUCGGGAGCCCUCUGAUGGAGGAAGCCUAAAUUACAGCGCUCAUAACCUAACAGGCAGCCGCCGGGCUCAAGUGCCCCCUGAUUUUCCAGAAUCGAAAAGAAGAGGAACCAUAAAAGAAGCCGAAUGUUUUCUCCCCCUGGCACUUUGCCCAGUGACAGUUGUCAAUCAGAGGUGCUGCAGACCGACUCGAAGGCAGCGUUCAGUGCCCAGGCACACUGCCUGCUGCCGUUGGUUCCUCCCAUGGUUCUCAGGGCGCCAGGUCUCUGUCAACUCCCAGCCCCCAGUUUCCUUACCUUGUCCUACUGCAUCUGAGUCAGGAUGCCUGAUGGGUUGAGCGCUGAUGAUCUCAUCCGUGUCCCACAUGUCCCAGGGAAUCCCAGGUCUGCCCUGAGCUUCCUGUGUCCUUGGGAAAGUCGGUUAAUCUCUGGGCCUCACUGUCCUCAUCGCUGAGCUUGGGGACUUGUAACAGAUGAUUUCUAAGUAUCUUCCAGCUUUGAAUAGAGCAUUUGUCUUGGGUGGCCAGGCUUAAAGUUUAAAGGCAUAAAAGGAAAAUGGGAUCUGAUCUUUAAUCAGAACUGCUGAGAAUGAGAAGCGCAGAGCAAACUACCGACUGCAUUGGGUGAAAAGUGAAAAUGGUCGGUGGGGAGGUGCCACGGUCAGGAUCUGAGGCGCUAGGAUCUUGCCAGUGCCUUGGCGCCUUUCUCUGCAGUCCCCGGCCUGCCUCCCUUCUGCUCCCUCUCUUCCGGAGUCUGGUGCUGCCAAUUUGCCAGGUGAGCCCCGCCAGCGUCCCAUUGCCGGUUCUCGUGGCCCUCACCUUUUCCUUAUACCUUCAUCCCUGCAGGAGUCGCAGGACCUCAGCUGGCCAGUUGGCUCUGCCUGGAAGGUGCAGGUCUUGUCCUUGUCAGGGAGACUGGCAGCCGCAAUGCUGUGCCUGUCCCAGGCUGAGCAAGAGGCUCCUGGUGUCGAUUCUGGAGCAGCCACAGGCCUCAGCAGGCCCCCAAAAGUGAUGACAUCAGCACAGUACUGCACCAGCUCUGAGGGCCCCACUGCCCCUGCCAUCUCCUCCUCCUCUCCCUCUCCAGUCUCCCUCUCCUCCCAGCACAGUGCAGCCUCCAAGGGCAGCCUCCACGGUGGAGAUGCUCAAGCUAAAGCAUGGGGACAGGAAAAAGCAACCACCAGGGUGGAGGGUCUCCCAGGGGAAGCACAAGGUCUGGGACAAUGAGAGGCAUCAGUCACCGAACCAUCUCACAACUCGAACAACCCCAGAAGAGCGGGCUGGAGAGUGCAAUGUGACAUCACUUCCCAUCUUGCUGGGAGACAGGGCUUUUGCCAAGAACGGGCCCCUGGGGAUUCAUCGGGCGACAUUUUCAUGCCACUGGCAUAAAUAAAGACUUGUACCAAAGGCUGCCAUUCUGGGCAGAAGGUGCUGUCUAGACCCCCUUAGGGCUGCCCUCUCUGGCCCCAGGCCCCUGGCUCCUACCACCUAAGCCCAUCACAUCACCCAGGAGGGUCGGCAGCUGCUGGCCCCCACCCACAUUCGCUGGCUUGGUUUUACUCUGCAGGGGAAGCUGGACUUCCUCCACAUCCAAGUUCAACUACAUGACAUCAGGAACACAGCCUUUCUCCCGACACCUUCGAGCCUCUAUUUGUCUCCAGUAGCUGUCCCAGAAAUCAUGGGUGGGAGCAUUCAAAAAUGUGGUUCCAGAGGUCCCCUUGCCCUAGCCCAAAAGGCUGCCUGAGCUGGGGAUCCCUUCCUUACCCCCCAAUCCGAAAGGCAGCCUGGCCUUCCAAACUGGAGUCCGUGGUUCAGAGUAGGAGAUCCACAGUCAGGGCCCGGGACACGGCUUCCCCUGGCUGGUCUCAAAGUCUUCCUAACCCUCCAGGGGUCCGUCCUGGUCUUCCACGGAGUUUCCCAAAAGCGCGCGCCACACUUGGUGGGCGCUCAGCCCCGAAGCGCCUGUGAACACCGCCCAUCCCAGGACGCACGAAGCCAGUUGGUACGAGCACCUAGAAGCAGCACUCCCCAUUUGUCAUCCUUCCCACGGGGAAGGCUGCCUGCUGCUCCGAGCCCUCAACUCCAAUGAAGUACAGUCGUCAAGAAACGGUGGUCUAAAUAAAGCCGGAGACUCACUCACUGCACCAAUCAGCACCGUGCGUCCGUCUGGAUCUCGGCGCCGGCUGCGCGCAGCCGCCAGGAGGUGGCCGUCGGGACGCGAGCGCCGCCCGGAGCAGUGGUGCAGGGUCUCCG
rnacentral:lncRNA from 1 species